rnacentral:rRNA from 1 species
GAUGUCUGAUUAGCUAGUUGGUGAGGUAAAGGCUUACCAAGGCGUCGAUCAGUAGCUGGUCUGAGAGGACGACCAGCCACACUGGGACUGAGACACGGCCCAGACUCCUACGGGAGGCAGCAGUGGGGAAUUUUGGACAAUGGGGGAAACCCUGAUCCAGCCAUGCCGCGUGAGUGAAGAAGGCCUUCGGGUUGUAAAGCUCUUUCAGCCGGAACGAAACGGUCACGGUUAAUACCCGUGACUACUGACGGUACCGGAAGAAGAAGCACCGGCUAACUACGUGCCAGCAGCCGCGGUAAUACGUAGGGUGCAAGCGUUAAUCGGAAUUACUGGGCGUAAAGCGUGCGCAGGCGGUUUUGUAAGUCAGAUGUGAAAUCCCCGGGCUUAACCUGGGAACU